rnacentral:lncRNA from 1 species
UUUUUCCUCCCUCCCCCUAGAGUACCAAAGAAGAUGCCGAAAUAGAAGCAAGUGCUUCUGGGAUUGUUUCUGGGAGUCCAGACUCUCUGAUCUCUGGAAGCUGUCUUAAAGGCUCUUCAGCUCUUCCUGGGAGAGGAUGUGGCCUAAUCAGGGAGAAUGUCAGCACAAAAAUGACUUGGAGGAUGGGAAGACAAGAGAGUCGUGAUAUAAAGAAAAUUCCGG